AUGAAGCUGCUCUGCAUCCUCACGGUGGUCCUCGCCCUCGCGUCCGUCGAGCCCGCCGUCUCGUCCCCCCGGCGCUACGAAUCCAUCAUCACCUUCGGCGACUCCUUCACCGACACCGGAAAUGCCAUCAUCGUCUUGGCGGAGAAAUCGCGCUUCGACCCUACGGUGCAGCCUCCCUACGGCAUGACGUUCUUCGGCCGCCCCACGGGCCGCUACUCCAACGGCCGCCUCAUCAUCGACUUCAUCGCUGAGAAGCUCGAUCUGCCGUUCGUCCCGCCGUACCUCUCGCACAACGGCAGCUUCAGCGAGGGCGUCAACUUCGCCGUGGCGGGCGCCACCGCUCUCAACGCCAGUUUCUUCAGAGACAUCCCGCUCGUAGGCUCGUUUGUUCUCAACACCAGCUCCAGCGUGCAGCUGGGGUGGUUCGACUCGCUCAAGCCGUCGCUGUGCAGCCCUGCCCAAAAUUGCCCGGGCUUAUUCCACAAGACGCUCUUCUUCAUGGGUGAAAUUGGCCUCAACGACUACAGCUUUGCGGUCUUCGGAAUGACCCUGCCCGAACUAAGAUCCAUGGUCCCAGACGUCGUCAAAACCAUCGCCGCGGCCACUGAGGUGCUACUCGGGCAGGGGGCGAAGACCGUGGUGGUGCCCGGGAUCCCGCCGCUGGGAUGCAUGCCGCCGAAUCUGGUGUUCUUCCCCAGCAACGAGUCGGCAGGCUACGAGCCUAGCACCGGAUGCCUGAAAGGCCUCAACGAGAUCGCCAGGCACCACAACUCGGAGCUGCAGAAGGCCCUCGACAAGGUCCGGGGGAACCACCCGAAUGCCCUGGUCAUCUACGCCGAUUUCUUCACCCCGGUCAUCGAGAUGGUGGAGUCUCCCCACAAAUUUGGGCUUACCACGGACGUUCUGAGCUGUUGCUGCGGUGGAGGUGGCAAGUACAACUUCAACAUCAGCGCUGGCUGUGGCAUGCCAGGCGCUACCGUGUGCGAGGACCCGUCUCAAUAUCUGUACUGGGACGGCCAUUUCACGGAGGCAGCCCACCGCUAUAUUGCCAAAGGCUGGCUAAACAGCAUAAACAGUUGCAAACCCUGGUAG
rnacentral:rRNA from 1 species